rnacentral:tRNA from 2 species
AGUGAAGAGGUCAAGCAUUACUCGCCGCGCAGACUGUAAAUCUGCCGGCUCAGCCUUCCCAGGUUCGAAUCCUGGCGCCGCCA